rnacentral:rRNA from 1 species
UACGGGGGGAGCAAGCGUUGUUCGGAUUUACUGGGCGUAAAGGGCGCGUAGGCGGCCAUUCAAGUGACGGGUGAAAGCCCUCGGCUUAACCGAGGAACUGCCUGUCAGACUGGAUGGCUUGAGACCGGGAGAGGUGAGUGGAAUUCCCAGUGUAGCGGUGAAAUGCGUAGAUAUUGGGAGGAACACCAGUGGCGAAGGCGGCUCACUGGACCGGAACUGACGCUGAGGCGCGAAAGCGUGGGGAGCAAACAGG